rnacentral:rRNA from 1 species
UGGCGGCGUGCCUAAUACAUGCAAGUCGAGCGAGCUUGCCUAGAUGAUUUUAGUGCUUGCACUAAAUGAAACUAGAUACAAGCGAGCGGCGGACGGGUGAGUAACACGUGGGUAACCUGCCCAAGAGACUGGGAUAACACCUGGAAACAGAUGCUAAUACCGGAUAACAACACUAGACGCAUGUCUAGAGUUUGAAAGAUGGUUCUGCUAUCACUCUUGGAUGGACCUGCGGUGCAUUAGCUAGUUGGUAAGGUAACGGCUUACCAAGGCAAUGAUGCAUAGCCGAGUUGAGAGACUGAUCGGCCACAUUGGGACUGAGACACGGCCCAAACUCCUACGGGAGGCAGCAGUAGGGAAUCUUCCACAAUGGACGAAAGUCUGAUGGAGCAACGCCGCGUGAGUGAAGAAGGGUUUCGGCUCGUAAAGCUCUGUUGGUAGUGAAGAAAGAUAGAGGUAGUAACUGGCCUUUAUUUGACGGUAAUUACUUAGAAAGUCACGGCUAACUACGUGCCAGCAGCCGCGGUAAUACGUAGGUGGCAAGCGUUGUCCG